GCAACUCGCCUACAUGAAGUCGGAAUCGCUAGUAAUCGCGGAUCAGCACGCCGCGGUGAAUACGUUCCCGGGCCUUGUACACACCGCCCGUCACACCAUGAGAGUUGGGAAUACCCGAAGCCUGUGAGCUAACUGUAAGGAGGCAGCAGUCGAAGGUAGAAUCAAUGAUUGGGGUGAAGUCGUAACAAGGUAGC
rnacentral:rRNA from 1 species